rnacentral:rRNA from 1 species
GUUUUGUUUAAUUGUGGCAAUAGAAAGUGUUUUUACAUUAGCUGCAUAGAUUUAGAUUAUUUUUUUUUUGAAUGUAGUUAUGUUGUUGUACUAGCAGUUAGUUUUUUAUUGAAACGUAAGUUUUCUAAGGGUGUAAAAUAAAAGGGGAUAGGACACAGUGCCAGCAUCUGCGGUUA